rnacentral:misc_RNA from 1 species
UACAGAGGUCCCAAGCGUUGUUCGGAUUCACUGGGCGUAAAGGGUGCGUAGGUGGUGGACUAAGUCGGGUGUGAAAUCUCCGGGCUCAACCCGGAGGGUGCGCCCGAAACUGGUCUGCUCGAGGAUGGGAGGGGAGACUGGAAUUCUCGGUGUAGCAGUGAAAUGCGUAGAUAUCGAGAGGAACACCGGUGGCGAAGGCGAGUCUCUGGACCAUUCCUGACACUGAGGCACGAAAGCCGGGGGAGCAAACAGG